rnacentral:rRNA from 1 species
AUUGAACGCUGGCGGCAGGCUUAACACAUGCAAGUCGAGCGGAGAUGAGGUGCUUGCACUAUCACUUAGCGGCGGACGGGUGAGUAAUGCUUGGGAAUCUGCCUAUUAGUGGGGGACAACAUCUCGAAAGGGAUGCUAAUACCGCAUACGUCCUACGGGAGAAAGCAGGGGAUCUUCGGACCUUGAGCAAAUAGCUGAGCCUAAGUCGGAUUAGCUAGUGGGUGGGGUAAAGGCCUACCAAGGCGACGAUCUGGAGCGGGUCUGAGAGGAUGAUCCGCCACACUGGGACUGAGACACGGCCCAGACUCCUACGGGAGGCAGCGGUGGGGAAUAUUGGACAAUGGGGGGAACCCUGAUCCAGCCAUGCCGCGUGUGUGAAGAAGGCCUUAUGGUUGUAAAGCACUUUAAGCGAGGAGGAGGCUACUUUAGUUAAUACCUAGAGAUAGUGGACGUUACUCGCAGAAUAAGCACCGGCUAACUCUGUGCCAGCCGCCGCGGUAA